rnacentral:rRNA from 1 species
CACGUAGGGCGCAAGCGUUGUCCGGAAUUAUUGGGCGUAAAGAGCUCGUAGGCGGUCUGUUGCGUCCGCUGUGAAAACUCGGGGCUUAACCCCGAGCCUGCAGUGGAUACGGGCAGACUAGAGGUAGGUAGGGGAGAAUGGAAUUCCCGGUGUAGCGGUGAAAUGCGCAGAUAUCGGGAGGAACACCGGUGGCGAAGGCGGGUCUCUGGGCCGGUACUGACGCUGAGGUGCGAAAGCGUGGGGAGCAAACAGG